rnacentral:rRNA from 1 species
UACCUUCUAUAAGUAAAAUCUGCUCCAUGUUAAAAUAAAUAGCCGCAGAAUCUUAACUGUGCUAAGGUAGCAUAAUCAUUUACCUUUUAAUUAAAGGUUUGUAUGAAAGAUUUAACAUUUAAAUUACUUUUUUAUUAACAAAUUUUAAAAUUAAACUAAGCAUAAAAAUGUUUUUAUAAUACAAAGAGACGACAAGACCCUAUUGAACUUUACUAAAGUUAAGCUGGGGAAGCUAAUUAAACACAAUUUUAAUUUAAUAUGACUUAAAAAUUUCUGGAUUUUCCAAUAUAAUCAAGUUACCAUAGGGAUAACAGCGUAAUAAUUCUUUAAAGCUCUUAUUAAAAGAAAAGAUUGCGACCUCGAUGUUGAAUUAGAAUUACUUUAAAACGCAAUAGUCAUAAAAGUAGGUCUGUUCGACCUUUAAAUUUCUACA